rnacentral:rRNA from 1 species
GCUUGUCUCAAAGAUUAAGCCAUGCAUGUCUCAGUAUAAGUUCCUGUACGGCGAAACUGCGAAUGGCUCAUUAAAACAGUUACAGUUUAUUUGAUGGUCGUUCCUUACAUGGAUAACUGUGGUAAUUCUAGAGCUAAUACAUGCGAAAAGACCCGACUUUGCGGAAGGGUUGCAUUUAUUAGAUACAAAACCAAUGCGGGGCAACCCGGUUGUUGGUGAUUCAUAAUAACUUUUGCGGAUCGCAUGGCCUUGAGCCGGCGACGAAUCAUUCAAAUUUCUGCCCUAUCAACUUUCGAUGGUACGGUAUUGGCCUACCAUGGUUACCACGGGUAACGGGGAAUUAGGGUUCGGUUCCGGAGAGGGGGCCUGAGAAAUGGCCACCACAUCCAAGGAAGGCAGCAGG